CGGAGGGUGCAGGCGUUAUCCGGAUUCACUGGGUUUAAAGGGAGCGUAGGUGGGUUGGUAAGUCAGUGGUGAAAUCCCCGAGCUUAACUUGGGAACUGCCAUUGAUACUAUCAGUCUUGAAUACCGUGGAGGUCAGCGGAAUAUGUCAUGUAGCGGUGAAAUGCUUAGAUAUGACAUAGAACACCAAUUGCGAAGGCAGCUGGCUACACGAAUAUUGACACUGAGGCUCGAAAGCGUGGGGAUCAAACAGGAUUAGAUACCCUGGUAGUCCACGCCCUAAACUAUGGAUACUCGACAUACGCGAUACACUGUGUGUGUCUGAGCGAAAGCAUUAAGUAUCCCACCUGGGAAGUACGAUCGCAAGAUUG
rnacentral:rRNA from 1 species